rnacentral:tRNA from 1 species
GCCGGUGUGGCGAAAUGGAAGACGCACAGGACUUAAAAUCCUGGGACUUGCAAAAGUCGUGCGGGUUCGAGUCCCGCCACCGGCACCA